rnacentral:rRNA from 1 species
GACGAACGCUGGCGGCGUGCUUAACACAUGCAAGUCGAACGGUGAAGCGCCUUCCUUUCUGGUGGGUGUGGAUGAGUGGCGAACGGGUGAGUAACACGUGAGUAACCUGCCCCCUUCUUCUGGAUAACCGCAUGAAAGUGUGGCUAAUACGGGAUAUUCUGGGUCUGUCGCAUGAUGGGUCUGGGAAAGAUAUUGUUUCGGUGGGGGAUGGGCUCGCGGCCUAUCAGCUUGUUGGUGGGGUGAUGGCCUACCAAGGCGGUGACGGGUAGCCGGCCUGAGAGGGUGGACGGUCACACUGGGACUGAGACACGGCCCAGACUCCUACGGGAGGCAGCAGUGGGGAAUAUUGCACAAUGGGCGCAAGCCUGAUGCAGCGACGCCGCGUGAGGGAUGGAGGCCUGCGGGUUGUGAACCUCUUUCGCCAGUGAAGCAGGCCUGCCUCGUUUGUGGGUGGGUUGACGGUAGCUGGAUAAGAAGCGCCGGCUAACUACGUG